GAUGAAGAACGUAGCGAAAUGCGAUAAGUAAUGUGAAUUGCAGAAUUCAGUGAACCAUCGAAUCUUUGAACGCACAUUGCGCCCGGCAGUAAUCUGCCGGGCAUGCCUGUCCGAGCGUCAUUUCUGCCCUCGAGCGAGUCCAGCAUCUAGGUGCUGGGCCCGCCCGGCGUUGGGGCACUACGGGAAGCCCUGUGCUGUCCCCCGUAGGCCCCGAAAUGAAGUGGCGGUCCUGCCGCGGCGCCCCCUGCGUAGUAUAACAGCUCGCUUCGGGACCCGGUGGAGGCCUGCCGUCAAACCUUACUCUCUAAGUUUGACCUCGGAUCAGGUAGGGUUACCCGCUGAACUUAAGCAUAUCAAUAAGCGGAGGA
rnacentral:misc_RNA from 1 species